CCAGCAGGUGCUGAACAGGAUGGUGGUGUUUCCUUCCAGUCCGCCUACUCUGCUCCCGCUGGAGUCCUUCAGGCUGGCUGUUACAGUGAGCCUCGUCACUCCCACAGAGACACAGUUACCCUGCAGACAACAGAACAGAUUUAGCAGCAGCUGUGCUGUGAUAACAACCCGUGUGGAGACGCAUCGUUGCCUCACCUGCUCAUCCACAGCCAUGAGACUGGGCUGCUGGUCCAGAGGACCCACAAACUCCCCGGCUAUCGGCUCCGCCACCAGCAGCAGGUCGUGUACGCUGGACACGUAGCUCACUUCAGGCUCCUCCCUCGUUACUUCUGCUGAGGCCUCCUGACAUUUAAAAAGCAGAAAACCAUUGAGCCGGUUGUGCACUGACCUCGGACGGCUCAGCGUUGAGCAUCAUGAGGCGAAGUUUCUGAGGGCUGACGCUGCUGAAGAAGACGUCGAAGGAGUGGCCGGUGGCCACGAUGCUGUGGAAGAGAGACACCCUCUUCUGGCAG